rnacentral:piRNA from 1 species
GGAAAUGGACAAGGUAGAAGGGACUU